rnacentral:rRNA from 1 species
GGUGAACGCUGGCGGCGUGCUUAAGACAUGCAAGUCGAACGGCAGUCUUCGGACUGAAGUGGCGCACGGGUGAGUAACGCGUAACUGACCUACCCCAAAGUCGCGGAUAACGAUUCGAAAGAAUCGCUAAUACGUGAUGUGCUGUCAGAUUGUGUUCUGCCAGUAAAGAUUGAUUGCUUUGGGAUGGGGUUGCGUUCCAUCAGCUAGUUGGUGGGGUAAAGGCCCACCAAGGCGACGACGGAUAGCCGGCCUGAGAGGGUGGCCGGCCACAGGGGCACUGAGACACGGGUCCCACUCCUACGGGAGGCAGCAGUUAGGAAGCCUCCACAAUGGGCGAAAGCCUGAUGGAGCGACGCCGCGUGAGGGAUGAAGGUCUUCGGAUCGUAAACCUCUGAAUCAGGGACGAAAGACACUUCGGUGGGAUGACGGUACCUGAGUAAUAGCACCGGCUAACUCCGUGCCAGCCGCCGCGGUAAGAC